AUGAUGCUCACGUCCCCCUCGUGUGUCGUGACUGAAUCUUUGGCUCUUCAGCUGGCAGUCAAGAUUGCUCGCACCCUUCAACUUCAGCAGGUCUCCGUCCUCAUGGACAGCCUCUCUAUCACGAAGAUGGCUGCUUCGAGGAACAUCAGCAGCAGCAGAUGCAGCAUAGCAUGGAGAUGUCGAACUCCAAUUAGCAGCUUCCUUCAAGACACUCAUCCGCAACAUCAUGCUGUUUAUCAUAUUGAACAUAUAAACCUUGAAAAACUGCUAGGCAGAACCAAGGCCUCCACGUCGCCCCUAAUUCGCGAACAGUAUUGCUGCCACCGUUCGUAA
rnacentral:rRNA from 1 species